rnacentral:rRNA from 1 species
UACGGAGGGUGCAAGCGUUAUCCGGAUUCACUGGGUUUAAAGGGUGCGUAGGAGGGCAGGUAAGUCAGUGGUGAAAUCUCCAAGCUUAACUUGGAAACUGCCGUUGAUACUAUCUGUCUUGAAUACCGUGGAGGUGAGCGGAAUAUGUCAUGUAGCGGUGAAAUGCUUAGAUAUGACAUAGAACACCAAUUGCGAAGGCAGCUCGCUACACGAAUAUUGACUCUGAGGCACGAAAGCGUGGGGAGCGAACAGG